rnacentral:rRNA from 1 species
UACGAAUGGAGCGAGCGUUGUUCGGAAUUACUGGGCGUAAAGCGCGCGUAGGCGGACCUGCAAGUCGGGGGUGAAAGCCCGAGGCUCAACCUCGGAACUGCCUUCGAUACUGCGGGUCUCGAGUCCGGGAGAGGUGAGUGGAAUUCCUAGUGUAGAGGUGAAAUUCGUAGAUAUUAGGAAGAACACCAGUGGCGAAGGCGGCUCACUGGCCCGGUACUGACGCUGAGGCGCGAAAGCGUGGGGAGCAAACAGG